GUCCAACUAGGGGCUUGAUCUCACAAUCUUGAGAACACAGCCUGAGCGCCAAAAUCAAGAGUCAGAUGGGGCCAGCAAGGUGCCCCCAGAAUUAAGAUUUUUAAGGGAAGAGGGAGAAGAGAAACCUCUGGCAAGGUAGGGAGUUUGCUCGAAGGGAAGAGAGUUGAAGGGACUCGUGUUGGGUCUGGGGCCUUUGGCUUGUGAUUGGUUGGGAUGCUUCUGAACCAGCCAGGCUGUGUCACUGUGUGUCCUGCAUGCCUUGAAUGAGUGUGGAGGGCGAUUUAUUCUAGGUUCUUCCACAGAGGAGGCCAGGACAGGGGCAAUGUUGAGGGAGAGCUACAGUCUUGGAAAGUCCAACAUUGGGAGACUUGGGAUCCUAAAGAAAUGGAAUAAAGCAUUUUUCCCCUCUUCCUGCCUGCUCUCUUUCCAUUUUUUCAUUCCUUUGUUGACAGCCUCGGUUUACCAGCGCUAUAUCAAGUGCUCUGCAAGGGCAUCGUAGGGAGGGCUCUGGAGUGAGAGCACCUGGAUUUGAAUCCUGCUUCUGCCAUGAAGUAAGGCCAAGUGGUAAGAGCUGUAAUCCUCAACUGUAAUGUCAGUGGCAAGGGCCCUAAAACAUCUGAACAGCUGGUAAAGCUGCAUGUCUGGAUUCUCCAUGGGAGCCUUAUCAUCCCCACGGAUUCACAUGAAGAACCGAGAAGGGUACUUUCCCCCAAGGCCUGCUUUUUCAUUCUUGAGCGUAAACAGUUUUGAAAACAAUCAUCUGUUGACAGUCUGAAUCAACUGACCACGUCUCCACCUUCCCACACCCCUUCUGAGUAAAAAGAAGAGAUAAAGAACAAGGCUGGGAAG